UGGGGAAUCUUCCGCAAUGGACGAAAGUCUGACGGAGCAACGCCGCGUGAGUGAAGAAGGUUUUCGGAUCGUAAAACUCUGUCUUUUGGGGCGAACGUGAGUAUGGUGAACAAUCAUAGUCAGUGACGGUACCAAAGGAGGAAGCCACGGCUAACUACGUGCCAGCAGCCGCGGUAAUACGUAGGUGGCAAGCGUUGUCCGGAAUUAUUGGGCGUAAAGAGCGCGUAGGCGGGAUAGUCAGUCUGUUGUAAAAGUGCGGGGCUCAACCCCGUGAUGGCAAUGGAAACAGCUAUUCUUGAGUGCAGGAGAGGAAAGUGGAAUUCCCAGUGUAGCGGUGAAAUGCGUAGAUAUUGGGAGGAACACCAGUGGCGAAGGCGACUUUCUGGACUGUGUCUGACGCUGAGGCGCGAAAGCCAGGGGAGCGAACGGGAUUAGAUACCCCGGUAGUCCUGGCCGUAAACGAUGGGUACUAGGUGUGGGAGGUAUCGACCCCUUCCGUGCCGGAGUUAACGCAAUAAGUACCCCGCCUGGGGAGUACGGUCGCAAGACUGAAACUCAAAUGAAUUGACGGGGUCAUAGCUGUUUCCU
rnacentral:rRNA from 1 species